rnacentral:rRNA from 1 species
UACGAACCGUCCUAACGUUAUUCGGAAUCACUGGGCUUAAAGGGUGCGUAGGCGGCCUGGUAAGUUGGGUGUGAAAUCCCUCGGCUUAACCGAGGAAUUGCGCUCAAGACUGCCCGGCUCGAGGGAGACAGAGGUGAGCGGAACUUAGGGUGGAGCGGUGAAAUGCGUUGAUAUCCUAAGGAACACCGGUGGCGUAAGCGGCUCACUGGGUCUUUUCUGACGCUGAGGCACGAAAGCUAGGGGAGCGAACGGG